AACAGGUUAUAGGCAGUAGAACGAAAACAAAAGGGCUGGAAACCCAGAUACAAGCCUCACAAAGUCCUAAGAUGGACAAUAUACAUUCAAUAUACGCUAUAUGCAGAUGUAUACACUUAUAUACCGGUCAAAAAUGCAAAAUACAGGGCUAAGGUGAAAUAUAGGUGUUCGGAAGCAAGAGAUACGUGAAAAGAGCCUAUGCACACGCUGAUAUACACCAGCUGUAUACAAAAAACAGAAAUUGGGUUUAGCCCAAUAGUAGCAGCGAAUUUGGCCCAAAAAGGGCCCAAAUUCAAUUUCUCCCUUACUCUUUAAUUAUAUAAUUGUGAUUAUUUAUUGUUUGUCGUUUAACCCUAACUUUAUAAUUCUUAAUUAACUUAAUUAGAUUC
rnacentral:lncRNA from 1 species